UGGUCUACAAUUUCACCGGCUCCAGGUCUACCUGGCAUGAAGUCUGUCCAAUUGUAUAUCUGUUUAUUCUGCUAACCUGUUUUCUCAAGAAGAAAUAUGUUGUUCUCCUUCAAAUCAUGAGAUUUGGACCAUAUGACUCCGUGUUCUGCUGC